CGCGUAGGCGGAUGAAUAAGUCUCUUGUGAAAUCUAACGGCUUAACCGUUAAACUGCUUGGGAAACUAUUUAUCUAGAGUGAGGGAGAGGCAGAUGGAAUUGGUGGUGUAGGGGUAAAAUCCGUAGAGAUCACCAGGAAUACCCAUUGCGAAGGCGAUCUGCUGGAACUCAACUGACGCUAAUGCGUGAAAGCGUGGGGAGCAAACAGGA
rnacentral:rRNA from 1 species